UUGUUUCAAACACUUUUUUCUUUUGUGUUCUCUCUUUCUUCUCCUUUUGCUAUUACCAUUACAUGUACACCUUUCAUAGUUGUUCCACAGUUCUUGGAUAUUAUGUUCUAUUUCUUUUCCUGUCUUUUUUCUCUUUGCUUUUCAGUUUUUGAAGUUUCUGUUUAAUGUAGUCAAGCUCAGUGAUUUUUCUCCUCAGCUGUAUCCAGUCUACUAAUGAGCCAUCAAAGACAUUUUCCCUUUCUGUUACAGUGUUUUCGUUCUCUUGUGUUCUUUUUAUUCUUUCUUAGAAUUUCUAGAUAUCUGCUCACAUUAUUUAUCCGUUCUUACAUGCUAUCUACUUUUUCUAUUAGGGCUCUAAGCAUGUUAAUCAUAGUCGUUUUGAAUUCAUGGUCUAAUAGUUUCAACAUCCCUGCCAUAUCUGGGUCUGGUUUCAAUGCUUACUCUAUCUCUUCAGACUGUAUUUUUUGCCAUUUAGUGUGCCUUGUCAUGUUUGGUGAAAUGUAGAUAUGAUGUGCUGGGCAAAAGGAAGUAUUGUAAAUAGGCCAUUAAUAUGUGGUGGGUGGUAAGAGGUAGGACAGUGUUUCAUAGUCCUAUGGGUAGAUCUCAAGCCUUAGGUGAGACAGGAUGGAUGUAGGGCACUGGAUUUGGGUGUCCUUUCUCCAAUGUGGAAGGCUAGAGCUAGCUUGAUUGGGGGUAUUUUCCUUUCAUCAGGUCAGUUAGGCUCUGAUGCAUCCCCAGAAGAUCAGGCUUUGCUAAAAUACUUUAUCUUGCAGUCAGAACUUGUUAAAAAGAGCAACAGGGAUAUUUUCUGGGGGAAAAUGGUGAAUAGGAGGCAGGACUAACUUGCAAUUCCCACUCAGGUGGACGCAGCAGGAUGUGGAGACCCACAUAAUGAACUUUUGCUCCAAGAACUACUGCAAGAAUGUACCAGAAAAGCUGAGAGAAUCCACAGACCCUUUGAAGGAGGUGGAUUGCCACUGCAGGUUCUGUGGGACAGCUGAGGAACUACCUGUCCACGCUGAGUUUAUAGCAACUGUCAAUUACGGUUCAGGGUUUCCUACCCCAGCAUGACUUUUCAAAGAGGCUUCUACUCGUGGAUUUCUGCUCCAGGAAGAUGCAACAGGAAGGUCCUCACCAGUUGGCUGAGCAGAUGCAGGUGCUGUGCCUCUGGACUGCCUAGCCUCCAGAACCGUGAGCCAAACAAAGUUCUAUUCAUUGUAAAUUACGCACUUUGUGGUAUUCUGUUAUGCAGCCGAAAAUGGACUAAGAUAGUAUUGUAAACUUGUAUUCCAUGAUAUUUACCCAAAGUAUGUAGAAAGCCUGGCUCAGAGCCUCAGAGCUGCCCACUGGACCCACAGCUGAUCAUAGAUGCUUGUGUGAGCCCAGCCAGAACCAGAAGAUCUCCCAGCAGACCCAUAGACUCAGGAAAAAUAAAAAAGCUUACGGCUUAAGUCAAUGAGUUCUUGGUGAAGCUUGUUACAUAUCAGUAGCUAACUGAUAAAAUCAGUUUUAUCUGGAAAGACUGAGAAUCUUUGUCUUACCUUUAAAUAUUAGUGAUAUAUUCCUCAGGUUCUCAAACUCUCCAAUAACUGUUAACAAAUUCUUGAUGUGUAUGAAAUCCAUGUAUGCUUCUAGGUUCUCCAGGUUGGUCAUCUUGUUUUCCCCUCAUUUGAGCCUGACUUCCCCUCAACUUCUAACCUGACUUUUAUUUUUAUAUAUUUAUUUUUAAAAUUUUAUGUUCCUGGAUACAUGUGCAGGAUGUGCAGGUUUGUUACACAGGUAAACGUGUGCCAUGGUGGUUUGCCACACUUAUCAACCCAUCACAUAGUUAUUAAGCCCAGGAUGCAUUAGCUAUUAUUCCUGAUGCUCUCCUCCCCCCUGCAACCCUGACAGGCCUCAGUGUGCGUUAUUCCCCUCCUUGUGCCCAUGCGUUCUCAUUGUUCAGCUCCCACUUAUAAGUGAGAAAUGUGGUGUUUGGUUUUCUGUUCCUGUGUU